AGUGAACGCUGGCGGUAGGCCUAACACAUGCGAGUCGAACGGCAGCACAGUAAGAGCUUGCUCUUACGGGUGGCGAGUGGCGGACGGGUGAGGAAUACAUCGGAUUCUACUUUUUCGUGGGGGAUAACGUAGGGAAACUUACGCUAAUACCGCAUACGACCUACGGGUGAAAGCAGGGGAUCUUCGGACCUUGCGCGAUUGAAUGAGCCGAUGUCGGAUUAGCUAGUUGGCGGGGUAAAGGCCCACCAAGGCGACGAUCCGUAGCUGGUCUGAGAGGAUGAUCAGCCACACUGGAACUGAGACACGGUCCAGACUCCUACGGGAGGCAGCAGUGGGGAAUAUUGGACAAUGGGCGCAAGCCUGAUCCAGCCAUACCGCGUGGGUGAAGAAGGCCUUCGGGUUGUAAAGCCCUUUUGUUGGGAAAGAAAAGCAGCAGGUUAAUACCCCGCUGUUCUGACGGUACCCAAAGAAUAAGCACCGGCUAACUGCGU
rnacentral:rRNA from 1 species